GGCUGCGUCUAUUUGUUUGUAGUUUCAAUACACGCGGUUUCCUGACGCUACAGACUUGUUGUCUCCCGUUGUGUGCUGUAUUACCAUUGACGUGAGCUCACGGACGCACGCAUACGAUUGCGUUGCUGCGUAUCAGCGGUUCCUUGUUCUCCCCUGUGCACGUAUUUUACGCGGAUUGAUAGAACGAGCCUGCAGCUUUCUGGUUCACCGGUGCACUUAAUGGUAGACUCGCGCCUAUGGGCCAUUAAAUCUCGUGCUGUCGGGGCUUCGUGGGAAUAAUCAUCCAGGGGCGCUGUUGCUUUGCCUGUUAUUUCGUACAUUUGUGGUGUUUUUCUUUGGUUUUGUUGUUUUUCCUUUGUUGUUGUAUGUUUGGUUGUAAAAUGUUUAUUCUUAUUUCUUUUGUUUAAUGUUCUUGGUUAAUUUAUUUUGUUGGUACAACCUUCUUAUAAUUCUUUAUUGUAUAUUGAGUUUAUUUUGUGUAUAAAAGAGGGAUUUAAUAUCCUUCUCCUUUCUUUUUGUUUGUUUCAUUAUAUUGUGAUUUUGUAUUUAUGGGUGAAAGGCAUGAUUAAGGGUUAAAAGUGCCUUCACAUCCCUUGCAUUGACGUGCUUGAUGCAAUGUGUUUGUGAAUUUACCAGUGAUUUUGUUGUGACUAUCCUCAAGUGUAACACACCAUCUCUUUGUUACAGGAGCUGAGUGCUGAAGGUGGGUGGAUUUUGGUGGUGGUGUUGCUUCAC